AUUUCUGCCUUUAGAAUUAUGUGAGGUGCCUUUUGGGGAGCUGGAUUUGUGAGCUUUCAGUGCAGGCAUUGAAUCCAAUGAGAUAUUGUUGAAUAUGAACUUGCAGACUGUUUAGUAGGGGUGGGUCUGAGAUACAGAUGAUGCAACCCAGGAAGCUAUAGCCAUAUGCAUCUCUGGUACUCGGUGGUUUUUUGGCUUGUGACCUUUGCUAUUUGGAUCCUCUGCCAUAAAAAAAUCUUUCUUCUGUGAUGUUGAUCUCUGAUUUUUCUAGCAUUGCGCACACCAUUAAACAAGCUGAUACUAUCUUACUUGGUUUUGCUAAAGACAAUGAUCUAAAGACUAAUCCUCCCUUGUGUAGUAUUGAGUUUUUAACAUUUCUAUUCCUUAUAGUCAUUCCAUUGUAGUUAUGAUUGUUUUCUUAAUAUGAACUGAGUGAGGUCCUUUUUAUCCCUCUACAUGUUUUCAUUCUUUUCUGAACCUCCUAUUUGUUGCAAUAUAUUGUGACUUUGUCUAAUAGUCUUAUUUUUUACUUAAUGCAAAUGAAAUUAACAGCGGUGGGUGCAAGGGGAGGUAUGGGGACUCUAUGGCCUGCUUUACAACUGGUUUACAUGACAAGAGCUUCUGCAUAUAGAGAUGCUCUUAAAAGUUUUAUACUAGGAAAUCAGGAAUUAAGGUGUGCAGCAGGUCAUGGAAAUGAAAGAAGAAUCUAAUACUUAAACGAGGGCAAUGCUCCCAAGAAAUCUACUCUAGCCAUUAUUCCAGCGUGGUGAUUCAAGUUUUUCUCCUGAGCAUCAACCAUGGACAAAACCCGUAGAGCUUUGCUACAACUUAACUUUUGAAAAAAAGUUACUAUUCUUGCGAAAAGAGUGUAAGAAAAGUUUCUAGCAUGCUCUAUCCCAUUUAAGGGUUCUGUUUGUACAUCAAGACUAUGAAUAAAUUGAAUCUUUUGUAUUUGUACCAUAUGGAGACGGACAUACCAUAGACAAUGCCGACUGCAUUAUCAAGUUGAUUUGGCUUUAUUACAUUGUAUGGUUUUAGCAUUCUUGAUGGUUAACCUUGUAAAUUUUGUAGUCAUUUCUUGCAUCUGAUUUUUUAUGGAUGACCAGAAGAACCACGAUUUGUGAAUACAAAAGCAUGUAGUGUGGAAGGUUGUGACUCUUUUCUUUCUUUUUCUUUCUGGGACAAUGGGCAUAUUACCAGCUAUUCCAUCCUGGUAUCUGCCCAUCCAUACAAUUGAUUAUAUAUGGGGAAUAUCCUUGCAGCAGUUUUCUUUUCUAACAGUCUUUCUAGCAUUGUUGCUGCUGUCAUUUUGCAGCUUUUGUUGGUACCAGCACUGUGUAGUAUGGUUCAGCAAACAACCUGGUCGAAUAUUUUGGUUCUACUCAUUUGAAAUGGAAUUGAGGAUUAUUCCUAGCAAGAAAUAUAUAGGCGAAUUGAUGUUCGGUUUGCCGACAAGUCAAGUUUAUGCAAAGCUUGGUCUUUUGAGGUCUAAAUCUCAACAUUUUGACCUAAAAAUGGUAAUUUCUCGAUAAAAGGGAUACAAACAACAAGAUCCUGGAAUCACACACUUAAUGUAAACUUAGCAUGGUGCUUCUCUCAUCUCUUUUGAAAGGGAAGCAAUGUAAGCUAACAGGCUGAGGAUCAUGGGAGUGCAGAAGCAUUCAAGAAGCUACUAUUGAAUGUAAAGAAAAGGUUAUUGCAAGUUGCUGUUCCCUUUUCUUUUCUUUGUUAUGUGUCAAAAGAGGGGAGCUUGAGGUUGAUCCAAGAACACCGAAAGCAAAAGCUUCAUAAGGAAAAAGCUAAGUGGAAUGAAGAAAUACUUACAUGAUGUUUCUAUAUUUGAACUGUACUGAGUCAUGCAUGGUUGAAUUAUUCUUACAUGACAAAUCCAUUAUACAGGACCAGUCCCUUCGUUCCCUUGAUUGGCCACUGUCUGUAUACCAAUGAUAACAACACUAAUAUGGGGGCCAUCCCACUUGCAGAGCACUAAACAUUGGACAACAUCACUAGCGGAGGUCAAUGGUAUCUCUCUCCUUUGAAUCUUAAUGGGCCAUGAUAAUCACAUGACACCGUUAUCGUUCAUUCACACAGUUAAUGCACAUAUCUCUGCAUAUAGUUCUCUUGCAAGUUGUGUUGGGUAUGUCAUCACAUAAGCCUGGGGUCAUUCUCUUCACAGGUUGAUCCAUUGCCUUUCUCUUGGUACCUAAAUUGGUAAAAGCCUUUGUUCACAUCUUGGAUUAGCCGCAGACACUAAUAUGAUACAUAUUUGAGCCUUAAUACUGUUAAUGUCUUGAAUUUUGCUUGGUUGUAAUUGGUUUAGUUACUGAUUAGGGUACUUGAAUAGACCAAGGAAAUAAAUCUGUAAUCAUUUGCCAUCAAGCCUGUCCUAGCACGAGGCGUCUUUUCCAAGGGGAAAAAGGUAUAAAGCAUUUAAGUCGUGGAGAAAUGGGUGCUGUGGACAAAAUAAGAAAGUUCAAGGGUGAAAUGAAGUCAACCACUACAAUGCAUGAUCUCCUGUUAGUUCGAUUGCGUGAUUUGGUUACAUGAAGUCACUUGCCUUAGGUUUGCCGGUAUAAUCAUGUUUGCACGGCCCUAUCAAGUGAUUUCCCUGAACGGAUCCCCAUCCAUUGUGGCAUCGUAUCAGGAGGCACUUUUCAGCAGUGGCUAGGCGUAGAAACUAAAAUUUAACAAGAUGGAUGAUUAUAUACCCCUCAUGUUAUUGGAAAACAACUCAACUAGGACUAGUUGAUCUUGGUUAGAUCUUCUCCGUCUCAACUUUUUACGCAUCCUGUGGUAGCUAUUUACUCUCAUAAUUUGCUCCAUUUUUCCCCCCUGUUUGUGCUUCCCAUGAGAGCCACCUUGAAUGUAUGGAAUAUGCCUAGCAUGUGCUUUUGACAACACAUUUGUCCUACAAGCAUCAAUGAUUAGGGGUUGUAAGCAAAAGUGGUGUGAAAAGAAAUUGGAGGGUAUCUCGUCAUAUCUUUCUAGUGUUUAGCUGGAAAAAUAAAGGCAUUGGAAAGUAAACAUACACAGGACGAUAGUUUUAAAAGUGCAUUGAUGUAGCUUCUGCUUUUGGUGAGACGAGGGGGCAAACAUACAAAUAUCAACAAUUAUCAUAGCCAGUGUUGGGUGAAGAAGGUAGAAGUCUCUGAAAUGAACCUUAGGUGAGAUGAGGAAGGGGCACCCACUGAGUGCUUUUGAUAUUGUUAGGUUUAUCCUCUGGAGAUCAGCAAGGAGAAAUAUCAAGCCAGUAGAUACAAAGUAUAGGGUAAUCUUAUAGUAACUUUAAAGAAAUCUUAGCUAGUGAUUAUAUGCGAAGGCAACGAUGGCCCUUCUCUCUUAUAAACUUCACUCAACAAGAAGUUAUACUUCCACAAA